AAAAAAAAAGAAGACAAAGAGACUUUCACUUGUCAUUUCAAUGUCACUUUCCGGCCCACAAGCAUAAACGCCACCGGCAACGGAAGUUCCCAAAAUCCAAACAAAUGUUGGAAGAUAUUUUUAAGUCUCCGCAUCUUUCUUACUUUCCUAUAUGAAAAUAAAAUGUAAGUAUCACAAUUACACACAUACAAGUUUUUUUUUUUAAUUCAGUUUCAUAAUUACCAAUUUUUAGUGAAUAAUCCUGAAAUUUAUGAAAAUACAUACAUUUUAAGGUUAUGUCAUAAUGUUUUGAUUGUUAUAUUUGAUUUUGUUUUUGUUAUUUUAGUGGACUACACCAACAAAGGUUAUGUGUUUUGCACCAGAUUGAAAGCAUCAUAGCGAAAAACGGACCUGUCAUAUCUUUAAAUUUUCAAAAGAGCCCCUGGAAAAAGAAAAAUGAAUAUCUUUGCCAAGGAAUAGGUACUAAGGCAAAUGGAUAAAAAACCUUCAGUCCAUGCAUUGGUAUGUAAUUGUUGACAAAAAUACAAUGAAUGGCCUCACUACUUUUCCACAUGCAAAGAGUUUAACCAAGGAGAAAUUAAAGAAAUUGUCAAAAACCUAGGUAAAUACAGAAUUGCUUAGUACAAACAUAUCUAUACCCAGUACAAGUUCGUCCACUUCUUUGAAGCAUGGUACUUCAAACAGAAACACUGUCAACAAUUUUGUAGAAGGUGAGCCGGUGUCAAAUUCCAGUAAGGGUCAUGAUUUCAAUUUUGCACCAACAGCAGAGCUAAAAUUCAUUUUGCCGCAAAAAACUGGAGGAUGUGAAAGAAAAAAGUGUAGAAGUUAAAAUUAAGUUUUUCAUAUGAGCACAUAAAAAAUAAUCAUGACAAAGUUCAGUUGU